AAAUAUCUAAGUUACCGGUAUUUUAAUUAACUGUAUCAGAAUAUAAUCAAUAAAUGAGAUGUCAUUUAGGUGAACAAAUCAAUUAACAAAAACAAUAGACACUAGCUUCUAAAUUUUUACAGCUUUUUAUCUGCAACAAUUUCAGUAUCCGCCAAAAUUUUUCGUAAACCUUGUUGCCCCUAAAUCGCGAAAUUUUACACCCCCGAAUAGUAACCCGCUAUACGACAUUUAUUGUAACAAUGUAUGUAUGCACUGUAGUUUGAACACCAG
rnacentral:lncRNA from 1 species